rnacentral:rRNA from 1 species
UACGUAGGGUGCAAGCGUUGUCCGGAAUUAUUGGGCGUAAGAGCUCGUAGGCGGUUUGUCGCGUCUGCCGUGAAAGUCCGGGGCUCAACUCCGGAUCUGCGGUGGGUACGGGCAGACUAGAGUGCAGUAGGGGAGACUGGAAUUCCUGGUGUAGCGGUGAAAUGCGCAGAUAUCAGGAGGAACACCGAUGGCGAAGGCAGGUCUCUGGGCUGUAACUGACGCUGAGGAGCGAAAGCAUGGGGAGCGAACAGG